AGGGUAAUAGUUCUGUGCUAGAGCUCGUGCUUAGCAUGCACAAGGUCCUGGGUUCAAUCCCCAGUGCCUCCA
rnacentral:tRNA from 1 species